ACGGGGUGCAGCAGGCGCGAAAACUUCACAAUGUGGGAAACCGCGAUGAGGGGAUUCCAAGUGCUUGCGUUUUGCGUAAGCUGUUCUCCUGCCUAAAAAGCAGGGGGAGUAAGGGCUGGGUAAGACGGGUGCCAGCCGCCGCGGUAAUACCCGCAGCCCAAGUGGUGGUCGAUAUUAUUGAGCUUAAAGCGUCCGUAGCCUGUCUGGUAAAUUCUUGGGUAAAUCGUGCAGCUUAACUGUCCGAAUUCCGGGGAGACUGCCAGACUUGGGACCGGGAGAGGUUGGAGGUACUCCUGGGGUAGGGGUAAAAUCCCGUAAUCCUGGGAGGACCAUCAGUGGCGAAGGCGUCCAACUGGAACGGAUCCGACGGUCAGGGACGAAGCCCUGGGUCGCGAACUGGAUUAGAUACCCAGGUAGUCCAGGGUGUAAACGCUGCAGACUUGGUGUCGGAGGUCCUACGAGGGCGUCCGGUGCCGGAGAGAAAUUGUUAAGUCUGCCGCUUGGGGAGUACGUCCGCAAGGAUGAAACUUAAAGGAAUUGGCGGGAGAGCACCGCAACGGGAGGAGCGUGCGGUUCAAUUGGAUUCAACGCCGGAAAACUCACCGGGGGCGACGGUUACAUGAAGGCCAAGCUGAUGACUUUGCCUGAUUU
rnacentral:rRNA from 1 species